AACGAACGCUGGCGGCAUGCCUAACACAUGCAAGUCGAACGAGACCUUCGGGUCUAGUGGCGCACGGGUGCGUAACGCGUGGGAACCUGCCCUUAGGUUCGGAAUAACUCCCCGAAAGGGGUGCUAAUACCGGAUAAUGUCUUCGGACCAAAGAUUUAUCGCCUUUGGAUGGGCCCGCGUUGGAUUAGCUAGUUGGUAGGGUAAAAGCCUACCAAGGCGACGAUCCAUAGCUGGUCUGAGAGGAUGAUCAGCCACACUGGGACUGAGACACGGCCCAGACUCCUACGGGAGGCAGCAGUGGGGAAUAUUGGACAAUGGGCGAAAGCCUGAUCCAGCAAUGCCGCGUGAGUGAUGAAGGCCUUAGGGUUGUAAAGCUAUUUUACCCGGGAUGAUAAUGACAGUACCGGGAGAAUAAGCGCCGGCUAACUCCGUG
rnacentral:rRNA from 1 species